CCUGCAUUAACCUGAGUAGAAACAACCUGAGAAUAAUAACAGGGAUCCUUACAGGCCACUGCAAGCUGAGAAAACACCUCAACAACAUUGGCCUGGCAGACAGUGCCACCUGUAGAUUCUGCAACAAUAAUGAAGAGACACCAGAACACAUACUGGGCAACUGUGAAGCACUAAUGCACAAUCGACACAGAUACCUGGGCCAGCACCAGGUAACAAGUAAAGAUCUACCGUCGAUAGAAAUACUCCAGUUAAUCAAAUACCUAAAAAGUAUCAAACUGGAGACUGUACUGUAAGUAGUUAAUUGCAGCCAAAUUUGGGGGCACAAUAGACCUUUAUGGUCGCAGUGCAACUUUCCCCCACAACACAUUCAUUCAUUCAUGGUACCCAAACGCUGUUAUCUCCUUCCUCGAAAUCGAUAAAGCGCACAAAAAAUGAAACCGAUCCGUCUUUGGUGGUUAAAAAUCUGGGCAAGAUUUUCACCAAAGGGAUGAUGAAAAAAAUGGAGAACCAAAAGAGGUUUAAAUGGUCUGAAGAAGACAUAGCCAACGCUAUUUCCAUCCAUGCGGCAGGACCUAGGGCCUAUCGGCUUCUCUUGAGGAAAGGCUAUCCAUUUCCAGCCGUCAUCACUUUACAAAAAUGGUGUGCCAAGAUCCAAUUAAUUCCCGGAAUUAUUAAUUGCGUUUUAGGAAUAAUUAAAAAGGUGGAAAUGAAGGAAAUGGAAAAGCUUUGCAUUCUUUCAUUUGAUGAGAUGAAAGUUAGAGAAAAAAUUUGCUAUGAUAAGCGGAAUGACGAAACAUUAAAAGCUGCGAAAUAUGUCCAGGUUGCAAUGAUCCGCAGCUUAUUUGGAAACUGGAAGCAGCCAAUUUUUUAUGAUUUUGACCAGCGCAUGACAUCCUCCUUGCUGUUCACUAUAAUCAAUGCCGUACAAAGCUGUGGGUUGUCCAUUGUGGCUAUGGUUUGCGACCUAGGAGGUACAAACCAAGGGUUACUAAAGGAACUGGAGGUCAAUGUUGAGAAACCUUAUUUUGCCGACCCCACUGACACAAAAAGAAAAAUUUAUGCCUUUGCUGAUGUGCCACACUUAUUAAAACUAAUAAGAAACAACUUUGUGGAUAGUGGUGGGUUCUUCCUAGAUGGAAAGUUAAUCCACAAAGGUAUUGUUGAGGAGCUGUUUUAAAACACCAACGCAAAGUCGGAUCUUUCCGUUGCCUAUAAAAUAUCAGCGGCAAAUAUAAAUGUAAGAGGUGCGGAACGGCAAAAAGUCAAGCUUGCUGCGAAGCUUUUUUCUCAUACAAUCGCUCAAGCUUUAAUGCGGGCUGGUAAACUAGGAACGUUGAAAUCUGAAAAUUGGUUAGAGUGCUCUCAGUUUUUCAAACAAGUUAACGAUUGGUUCGAUUGUUUGAACAUCAGGGUUCCAUAUAAGGACAGUCGGGAACGGGUGCAAGGAUUCGGGCUCUCUGAAUCCCAUCAAGUUGAGAUACUUGACAAAAUGUCUGAGACAAUCAGCACGAUGAGGGUGAAUGGCAAAGCAAAUUUGAUGCCUUUUCAAAAAGGUAUUAUAAUGACCAAUAAAGCCUUAAAACUUCUCUACUACGACCUUAAGUCCAAAUAUGAUUUUUCGUAUUUGCUGACCUACAGGUUUUGGAGAAUUUUUUCGGCGUUAUUCGGCGGAAAGGGGGAUUGAAUGAUCAUCCAGAUCGCCUGGAGUUCACGUAUCGGUUGCGAUCGUACAUUCUUGGUCGAAACGAGGGCAGUCUAUCUGCAAAUGGCAACACUAUGGUCGAUGAUACUCCAGACUUGGAAGUUGCUGAAUUUUUGAGCUCUGAUUUCUUUGGAAAGUUAAACGAUGAUGAAAACACCCCACCAGAAGAGGUUCAUGACGACGAGGAGUUGGAGUUGGAUACACUGCAGAAGGACGGUCUGGAGCAUUUAGCAGGGUAUAUUUGCAAAAAAUGAAGAAUCCAGACUUAGAGGUUGAAGGAAAGGUUAUCAAUAAUGCUGCAGAUUCCUUUACAUGGACGAACCAGCUAAGUGAAGGUUUUUUAAAAAAACCGAACGACAAAAUGAUGGCUGAGAUGGCACAAUUAGAAAACAUUUUCAAAAAUUUGAAUGGUGAAAAGUUAUUCUAUACUAGAGACUAUUUAAAAUUGCUCGUCAACCUCAGUGAGCAUGUAGGUAGUGAUAAAAAAGUAAAACAAAUAUUUUUCCGAUCCAGGAUGUAUUUCCGAAUAAAGUCAUUAAAUAAUGAAAUCGAGGAAAGUUCUACAAAUAGAAAAAGAAAAAUAAUAAAAACAAUAACUUAAAUAA